UACGUAGGGACCAAGCGUUGUUCGGAUUUACUGGGCGUAAAGGGCGCGUAGGCGGCAAUUCAAGUCAGCUGUGAAAGUCGGGGGCUCAACCCUCGAAUGCCGGUGGAUACUGUCGGGCUAGAGUGCGGAAGAGGCGAGUGGAAUUCCUGGUGUAGCGGUGAAAUGCGCAGAUAUCGGGAGGAACACCAGUGGCGAAGGCGGCACUCUGGGCCGGAACUGACGCUGAGGAGCGAAAGCGUGGGUAGCAAACAGG
rnacentral:rRNA from 1 species